rnacentral:rRNA from 1 species
GAUGAACGCUGGCGGCGUGCCUAAUACAUGCAAGUCGAGCGAACAGACGAGGAGCUUGCUCCUCUGACGUUAGCGGCGGACGGGUGAGUAACACGUGGAUAACCUACCUAUAAGACUGGGAUAACUUCGGGAAACCGGAGCUAAUACCGGAUAAUAUAUUGAACCGCAUGGUUCAAUAGUGAAAGACGGUUUUGCUGUCACUUAUAGAUGGAUCCGCGCCGCAUUAGCUAGUUGGUAAGGUAACGGCUUACCAAGGCAACGAUGCGUAGCCGACCUGCGAGGGUGAUCGGCCACACUGGAACUGAGACACGGUCCAGACUCCUACGGGAGGCAGCAGUAGGGAAUCUUCCGCAAGGGGCGAAAGCCUGACGGAGCAACGCCGCGUGAGUGAUGAAGGUCUUCGGAUCUUAAAACUCUGUUAUUAGGGAAGAACAAAUGUGUAAGUAACUAUGCACGUCUUGACGGUACCUAAUCAGAAAGCCACGGCUAACUACGUG